GCUCCGGCGAGGACGGCGGGCGACGACGGGGCGAGGCAAGCAAUGCACGGCCAUGGCGAAAGUCGAAUGCGCAGAAUCGGGCACGGCGAAUGGCACAGUGGCGAGGGCAUAGCGGGCGCGACUGUACGGGGAAGCGGGGACACGGCUGGGCACGCGCUCGCGCAGGUCGACCGGGAUGCUGCCGGCAAGCCGCGCUGGCUGGCCACGCCGGCGAGCCAUGGGCCGCCGCGUAGGGUGUCGCACUGCCGCGGGCGCGCCACACCUCGCGAGGGAGAGGGAGAGGAAAUGGGAAUGGAGAGAGGAAUGAUAGGGGAUCACCAUGGGCAUACGGAGACGAAUGGCAUGGGUUCCACGCGGCCUCCGGCGGACGACGGUUUUGGGCGAGAGGAAGACGAUGUGGGUGAGGUGGCUGCUACGCGCGUCGUGGGGAAAAAGGGGAGACAGAGGUGGGCGAGUGGGCAGCAACGCCGGGCAACGGCUGGGACGCGCACUGGAUGGCGCGGGCGCGCCGGCCAGGCGGGCCACGAGCGGGGCUGUGGGCGCGGCAUCCGCGCCUGCGUGCAUGCGCACAUGCA
rnacentral:lncRNA from 7 species